CCGGAGUGGCUGUGACAGCAGCGGAGGCAACAGCUUCUACGCAUUUUUGGAUGACAUACCACCUGUCUUCUGGCUUAGAGUUCUGCGAAAUAAUUUCUCUGGAUUGCAUGAAUGAAGCACAGGACCAUUCACACAGAAGAGGGCGCAGAUUGGAAAACGCUGCAAGUUGCUGGAAUAACUGAAGAAAUAAUGUAAGAAAUACAGUUAUUCAUAAAGGCUGUUCUUGUGGCCACAAUCUUCUUACACAAAACAUUCCUAAUCACAUUCUCUGAGACCCUGCUGGAGGGACUGAGCAAUGGACCAAAAGACCUGGAAAUGAAGAAGAGAAAAAGGUAAGAGACAAGGAACAGAGUAAAAAUAAGGACAUCAAGAGAGAGCAGAGUGUGAAGAGGGAGGGUGAAAGAGGUAGCUGGAACAAGUGAACAAGAAAAAGAGAGAAUGUAUGUAUGUAGGGAGAAUAAAAGGAUUAAAUGACAAGAGAAAGAAAAAUAUUAAUGCACCUAGUGGGAAAUAGAAAAGCACCAGGAUUAUUUGCCUCAUAUUUUCUGCUCAGAGAUUGUUUCAAGUAGUUGUCUGUCCCUUGGUGUAGGCAUUCAGUUUUAAAAAUCCUUGUCAUUCUCAGCCAAGUAUAACAAAAAAUAAAGAACAGGGUGGAGAGCCAUGAAACUUUUAAUUAAGGUUGACAUUCAUCUAAUAGAUAUGCUCUAUUUAGAAUUACAGUGAAGAUGGUAACAUAUUGUGGUCACUGGAUCUC